rnacentral:lncRNA from 1 species
CGACAUUUGAAAUAGAGAAAAUUAUGGAAUUAUUGAUAAUAUUGUUGAAAUAUUUGGAAGGAAUUGAAAGGUAACAAAGAAAAAAAAAGAAAAAGAUAUUUAUUAUAUUUCCCCUCUCUCUCUUUUUAAUCACUCCCUCUCUUUUUUAUUAUUUUUUCCUCUUUCUCGCUCUCCCUCCUCCCUCCUCCCGUCUCCCUCUUUCUUUAUUCUUUUUCCUUCUUCCUUUUUCCCCUCUCUUUUUUUUAUUCUUUUUCCUUCUUCCUCUCUUCUUCGUUUCUUUCUUCUCUCUCCUCCGUCUGCUCCAUCUCUCUUCCCUCUCUCUCUUUCUUCUUGCUCCAGCUGCCACCACCGAAGCUUCUUCUUCUCCUCCAUGGGGUCACUUCCAUGGCUGCCAAGGGCAAAAACCAGUCCCUACCACUAAACUCCAGAUCUGCCGUGGGGUCGUCUGACCCCAUUGACCCCAUGGUGGAUCCGUCUAUGA